rnacentral:misc_RNA from 1 species
UCCUGAAACGGAGCGCUACUUAAAGCGGCUUGAAAGAAGAGGUUUUGAGUAGAGAGAUCUUUAACAACGAGAAUAAGAUAGUUUGUGCGGGUGUUUUGUAACGAAAGCACUUGAUUGAUGAAAAUUGAACAAGUGAAGAAGAAAUAAAAUACCCUGAACUGACAAUUUUGAAAACACGAAAUAGUCUGUCAGGAAAAAGAACUUUUUGAACUGAAGAGUUUGAUUCUGGCUCAGAUUGAACGCUGGC